rnacentral:rRNA from 1 species
UACAGGGGGGGCAAGCGUUGUUCGGAAUUACUGGGCGUAAAGGGCUCGUAGGCGGCCAACUAAGUCACACGUGAAAUCCCCAGGCUUAACCUGGGAACUGCGUGUGAUACUGGAUGGCUUGAGUAUGGGAGAGGGAUGUAGAAUUCCAGGUGUAGCGGUGAAAUGCGUAGAUAUCUGGAGGAACAUCGGUGGCGAAGGCGGCAUCCUGGACCGGUAUUGACGCUGAGGCGCGAAAGCCAGGGGAGCAAACGGG